rnacentral:ribozyme from 13 species
AGAAGAAGAGGAAGGGAAGAAGGAGGGAGAGUAGAGUUUCACAUAAAUUUAUUUGGAUCUUGGGAGCUGCUUUUUUUUUUUUUUUUUUUUUUUUUUUUUUGUUU